rnacentral:lncRNA from 1 species
CUUUACUGAUAUCAUUUGAUUCUCACAAAAGUUGGGAGUUAUGUGCUUUUGUUAUCCUCACUUUACAGAUAAGAAAACUGAAGCAUACAGAGGUUAAAUGAUUUAUCCAGGAUCACUCAGCUAGUAUGCACAUGAGGCUGGAUGAAAUCACAUCUUCCUGAUUCCAGGAAAGGCACUCUCUCCAUUGCAUCACCUGCCAAUAGACUUCGGAGGGCAAUUGGCCCAUCCCAUUAAAUUUCUAGGAAUAUAGGGAAACUGAGAUGUAGUGAAGAAUGAAUACCUCAUCUGCUGCCCCUAGGAGAUUAUGUACUACCAUGAUAGUGAGACUGUGAGACAACUACUGACUGCAGGAAGAUCAAUCAAAAGUUGCAAUCCAUUCAGGAACAACAGAAAGACUGCAGUGCCUUAUGUUACAUGAAGCCCUUGGCUGGAGGAACUAAAUGAUUUUUACAAACAUUGCUUCAAGAACAAAAAGGAUGCCAACAAAGAAAUGUGUGCCCAGGGAAGGAAGAUAGGCUGGCCAUGUGGUUGUUGUGAUGGAUUACCAACAGACAGCUGCCUAAAUGCUACAUCACUACCUUGUCAUGUCAGGAGAAGUUGAGGAAAAUCCCCAGUCUGGUGUGCAGGACCUGGCAUGACAAAGUUUUGAAAGGACAUGGACAAGAGUCAGAAUGGACAGGCAUGGAUGAGCUGUUAACGAUUUUUGGCAAUGCAAAGAUGAAACCCAUCUACAAGGAGCCGAUAUCCUAUCAGAGGAGACAAUAUGUAUAUUUAUGGAUGAAAAUGGGGGCUGACCAAGUGGAGUAAAAGAACUGGAGUUCAUCCUGCUAUAUGCCAGGUGCAACCUUGGCGAAGAUGCUUCUUUAAAAUGUGGGAUCAUGCAGAAUGGAAAGGCUGCUUUCUCAUUCUGAAGAUUUCCAAAUAUUGUGGGUCUAUUUCCUGUCUGAUUAUGGUGUAG